rnacentral:lncRNA from 1 species
UCAGUCACUGACCAAUGUUCCAUAAUUCUUGUCAGAGGCGAGGGGAUCGGAUAAGAUUGUCACAUGCUGACCAACUGCCUUUUUUUCUAGCCCAAGGAAGUGAUUUCUUCAGUGUGCCUAUGCCUGAGAUCUGAGGCUGGAACACAGAGAAGGAUCAUCCAGCAAACAAAGGUACUGAAUUCACUACCAUUUGUUAGCUAGCACUGAGUGGGUUUGGACUUGUGGCCCCACAUCUUCAUCUGCACACUUCAAAGCAUGUUUCAGAAGCAAAUGGGAUUGAAAUUUAAGAGAGAAGGGCUGCAGAACAAACAGCAAGGUAAAAUUCAGACUAUUCUGUUGUGCAGAGUGGGGAGUUGGGCACAAGCUGACCUCUCAGCCAUGAUUCUAUGGGCUGAGUCACUACUGAGUUUACUUAUGCAACUCUUUCAACCUUCCUUCAACAAAGAGCAAGUUUAA